rnacentral:rRNA from 1 species
GUGGGGAAUAUUGGACAAUGGGGGCAACCCUGAUCCAGCAAUGCAGCGUGUGUGAAGAAGGCCUGCGGGUUGUAAAGCACUUUCAAUUGUGAGGAAAAGCUCAAGGUUAAUACCCUUGAGUCUUGACGUUAACUUUAGAAGAAGCACCGGCUAACUCUGUGCCAGCAGCCGCGGUAAUACAGAGGGUGCGAGCGUUAAUCGGAAUUACUGGGCGUAAAGCGCGCGUAGGCGGUUUGAUAAGUCGGAUGUGAAAGCCCUGGGCUCAACCUAGGAAUUGCAUUCGAAACUGUCAGACUAGAGUAUGGUAGAGGGAAGUGGAAUUUCCGGUGUAGCGGUGAAAUGCGUAGAUAUCGGAAAGAACAUCAGUGGCGAAGGCGACUUCCUGGACCAAUACUGACGCUGAGGUGCGAAAGCGUGGGGAGCAAACAGG